rnacentral:rRNA from 1 species
AACCGGGGCUAAUACCGGAUGGUUGUUUGAACCGCAUGGUUCAGACAUAAAAGGUGGCUUCGGCUACCACUUACAGAUGGACCCGCGGCGCAUUAGCUAGUGUGNGUNGAGGUAACGGCUCACCAAGGCGACGAUGCGUANGCCGACCUGAGAGGGUGAUCGGCCAACACUGGGAACUGAGACACUGGCCCAGACUCCUACCGGGAGGCAGCAGUAGGGAAUCUUCCGCAAUGGACGAAAGUCUGACGGAGCAACGCCGCGUGGAGUGAUGAAGGUUUUCGGAUCGUAAAGCUCUGUUGUUAGGGAAGAACAAGUGCCGUUCAAAUAGGGCGGCACCUUGACGGUACCUAACCAGAAAGCCACGGCUAACUACGUGCCAGCAGCCGCGGUAAUACGUAGGUGGCAUANCGCGUUGUCCGGAAUUAUUGGGCGUAAAGGGCUCGCAGGCGGUUUCUUAAGUCUGAUGUGAAAGCCCCCGGCUCAACCGGGGAGGGUCAUUGGAAACUGGGGAACUUGAGUGCAGAAGAGGAGAGUGGAAUUCCACGUGUAGCGGUGAAAUGCGUAGAGAUGUGGAGGAACACCAGUGGCGAAGGCGACUCUCUGGUCUGUAACUGACGCUGAGGAGCGAAAGCGUGGGGAGCGAACAGGAUUAGAUACCCUGGUAGUCCACGCCGUAAACGAUGAGUGCUAAGUGUUAGGGGGUUUCCGCCCCUUAGUGCUGCAGCUAACGCAUUAAGCACUCCGCCUGGGGAGUACGGUCGCAAGACUGAAACUCAAAGGAAUUGACGGGGGCCCGCACAAGCGGUGGAGCAUGUGGUUUAAUUCGAAGCAACGCGAAGAACCUUACCAGGUCUUGACAUCCUCUGACAAUCCUAGAGAUAGGACGUCCCCUUCGGGGGCAGAGUGACAGGUGGUGCAUGGUUGUCGUCAGCUCGUGUCGUGAGAUGUUGGGUUAAGUCCCGCAACGAGCGCAACCCUUGAUCUUAGUUGCCAGCAUUCAGUUGGGCACUCUAAGGUGACUGCCGGUGACAAACCGGAGGAAGGUGGGGAUGACGUCAAAUCAUCAUGCCCCUUAUGACCUGGGCUACACACGUGCUACAAUGGACAGAACAAAGGGCAGCGAAACCGCGAGGUUAAGCCAAUCCCACAAAUCUGUUCUCAGUUCGGAUCGCAGUCUGCAACUCGACUGCGUGAAGCUGGAAUCGCUAGUAAUCGCGGAUCAGCAUGCCGCGGUGAAUACGUUCCCGGGCCUUGUACACACCGCCCGUCACACCACGAGAGUUUGUAACACCCGAAGUCGGUGAGGUAACCUUUUAGGAGCCAGCCGCCGAAGGUGGGACAGAUGAUUGGGGUGAAGUCGUAACAACGUAGCCGUAUCG